GACUACUUAACUCACAGGCCACGGUCGCGGUGAAUGAAAUUUAAUAUUUUUUUUCCCCGUGUUGGCGCAGUGAAUUUUUUACCCACCACAACAACGACCCAUCGAUCAGAAUUUUCCCCCCUCGCCGCGCGAAUGCCUCGGUUAUUAUUAUUAUUGUUUUUUACCACUCCGUAUUUUUUACCGCCGCGCGACACGCUACAUAGCAGUCUCAAUAAACGCGCGCGUGCCGUCGUCGACUGAUCGCUGCCGCCGUCGCAUCUGUUGGCGGCGACAUGAUUACGAUAACAUACUUAAUUCGUAAUAAUUAAUAUUAUUUAAUCGUGUUCGUCGUUUCGAUUCAUCGUUUGAGAAGUACACGAAUUGCCGCCGUUUUACGCACAAUUCUUAAAUAAUUGGACAUCAUAUCAGUGUUAUCGUCUUCGCGAACGAUAUCAACAACACGACUGCUGAAGACAACAACGUAAACAACAACAACAAAAUUAUAUUAUAAUAAUAAUAUGUAAAACCGUAUUAUCGGGAUUUCGUUGUGUAUGUUCGCGGUCGUUCCAUCCGGCAAAUCCGAUACAAUGCUAUUAUCUAAACGUGAUAAGACAGUCCGUCCGUGUGCGUGUGCGAGUGUAUUUUUUAAUAAUUUUUUUUUACCGUAAUUCCGUUUCGGUUUUUUUUUUAUACUCCUUCACUCACCGAUUUCUCCGAACUCGAAAUGCGUGUGCGUGAUUUUACGACUACCACGACUAACGCGUAUGUGUAGUGUGUACGACCGACGACGUCGGCGCGGCGGCGGCUACACCGCCGAGGGCCGUAAUCGCUCGUGUGUGUGUAUUUGUGUGGGGGGAGGGGAAGCGCGUCGUCGACGUCGUCAACGCGGCGACGGCCCUUUAUUGAUUUUUCCGUAUUCGCGUUUCGUUUAGUUGUUGUUGUUGAUAAGGAGAGUGAAUUUUUUCCGUCAUCGGUCGAUAAAAUUUUUUGCGGGGGGGUUCCUCCACCACCAGUUGUGGUCGUUCGUCAACCACCACUACCGUUGUACCGCCACUACCUCUUCCGCCUCGGUCGCCUUCACUGCCUCCGGCCGCAGCUCGACAACGUCGGCGACGACGGCCGAUACAUGAAAAUAUUUACGGAACCGGAACUAAUGGCAGGAAAAGGCGCACGCACGCACGCACGCAUACUCGACACGCACACGAUGUGUAAACAAACAAGCGUACGGAAGACGGUGACCGAAAACGGCGAAGAGUACGUUCAGUCAUCGAUUCAGCGGGGGCGAAAACGACCAAAAAAUGCAUGAAGACGACGACGACUUUAACAAUAACAACACGGCAUCGUAGAAUGCCACUAACGAGUAGUGUACUCACGUUUUCUUGUGUGUUCGGAUUGUCGCAAGUUCCAGACAACGAAGAUGAAUGGCGUUCCGAGGAAUCUGGUCAGCAAAAGCUUUCUGUAAUUAAUAGGACGAUAUAAAUUAUCGUCUCGUCAUCGAUUUCUUGCCAGAUUAUCAUUAAUUGAUGAGUAUUUAGUUAAUUUAUUGAAAAAAAAAACAAUACCUACUGAUACAAGAAUAAUGAUUUUUUAAAGAACUGAACUGAUCGAUUACCAGAGACGUUUAAUACUUACUGAAUACUACAAAUUCACUGGUUUGCAUACAAAAGAAUGGUUAUCUCAAGAUACAGAAGACAUACCUGGCUUAUUUCCUCAUCACCUAGAUCCUGGUGCUAUUACUAUACGAACAACACCUAGCAGUGGUUCUGGUGGUAAGCGAAUGCGAAAUUCAUCAGCUCGGUCACCCGAUGAAGCAAGAUGGGUGUGUCCAACUUGUGGAAAACGAUACAAGUAUAGUCGUGGCUUAGCUAUGCAUAGGCGGUUAGAAUGUGGUAAGGAACCUAUGUUCCAUUGUCCCUUUUGUCCACAAAAAUGUCACCAAAAAGGUAAUAUGGUCAUACAUAUUAAGAAAAAACACCCUACCCAAUAUGAGGAACAAUCGCAAGCUGUUGUACAGGCACAUGUUAAAGCACAGCAUGUCCAAAGCGAUUAACACAAUUUUUUUCCCUCAGUAUUU